rnacentral:lncRNA from 1 species
AUAAAGAAAGUAAAAAUAGAUUCACCAUCACGAAUAAAAUUUUUGCAGAAAGACGGUAAAAAAACUUACUCUAGCGCGUUUGCUUCCACCAUUGUAGUAGUUGAAUAUUCAAUCAGUUUCUAAAUCUUCAAGUUUUUGAAAUUAUGCCCAUAAACAAUUGAUUCUUCUCAAUCAUUUAAACUACCCAGAUGACAUGGCGUACUCAAUUAUAUUGGGUUUUACAGUAGAAUUGAAGAUAAUGAAAAGAGGAAGAGGAAAAAGGAGCCGUUAAUUUCAAAAUAUAGGAGAAUAGGGUUUUUAUCGUGUUGAAGGAGGAG